UACAGAGGUCCCAAGCGUUGUUCGGAUUCACUGGGCGUAAAGGGUGCGUAGGCGGCGCGGUAAGUCGGGUGUGAAAUCUCGGAGCUUAACUUCGAAACUGCAUUCGAUACUGCCGUGCUUGAGGACUGGAGAGGAGACUGGAAUUUACGGUGUAGCGGUGAAAUGCGUAGAUAUCGUAAGGAAGACCAGUGGCGAAGGCGGGUCUCUGGACAGUUCCUGACGCUGAGGCACGAAGGCCAGGGGAGCAAACGGG
rnacentral:rRNA from 1 species